rnacentral:misc_RNA from 1 species
GAUGAAGAACGUAGCGAAAUGCGAUAAGUAAUGUGAAUUGCAGAAUUCAGUGAAUCAUCGAAUCUUUGAACGCACAUUGCGCCCCUUGGUAUUCCGGGGGGCAUGCCUGUCCGAGCGUCAUUACAACCCUCAAGCUCAGCUUGGUGUUGGGCCCCGCCGCCCCGGCGGGCCCUAAAGUCAGUGGCGGUGCCGUCCGGCUCCGAGCGUAGUAAUUCUUCUCGCUCUGGAGGUCCGGUCGUGUGCUCGCCAGCAACCCCCAAUUUUUUUCAGGUUGACCUCGGAUCAGGUAGGGAUACCCGCUGAACUUAAGCAUAUCAAAUAAGCGGAGGA